AUUGAACGCUGGCGGCAUGCCUUACACAUGCAAGUCGAACGGCAGCACGGGUGCUUGCACCUGGUGGCGAGUGGCGAACGGGUGAGUAAUACAUCGGAACAUGUCCUGUAGUGGGGGAUAGCCCGGCGAAAGCCGGAUUAAUACCGCAUACGAUCUACGGAUGAAAGCGGGGGCCCUUCGGGCCUCGCGCUAUAGGGUUGGCCGAUGGCUGAUUAGCUAGUUGGUGGGGUAAAGGCCUACCAAGGCGACGAUCAGCAGCUGGUCUGAGAGGACGACCAGCCACACUGGGACUGAGACACGGCCCAGACUCCUACGGGAGGCAGCAGUGGGGAAUUUUGGACAAUGGGCGAAAGCCUGAUCCAGCAAUGCCGCGUGUGUGUAGAAGGCCUUCGGGUUGUAAAGCACUUUUGUCCGGAAAGAAAUCCUUGGCCCUAAUACGGUCGGGGGAUGACGGUACCGGAAGAAUAAGCACCGGCUAACUACGUG
rnacentral:rRNA from 1 species